rnacentral:misc_RNA from 1 species
GAUGAAGAACGCAGCGAAAUGCGAUAAGUAAUGUGAAUUGCAGAAUUCAGUGAAUCAUCGAAUCUUUGAACGCACAUUGCGCCCGCCAGUAUUCUGGCGGGCAUGCCUGUUCGAGCGUCAUUUCAACCAUCAAGCCCCCGGCUUGUGUUGGGGACCUGCGGCUGCCGCAGGCCCUGAAAAGCAGUGGCGGGCUCGCUGUCACAGCGAGCGUAGUAGCAUACAUCUCGCUCUGGGCGUGCUGCGGGUUCCGGCCGUUAAACCACCUUCAUAACCCAAGGUUGACCUCGGAUCAGGUAGGAAGACCCGCUGAACUUAAGCAUAUCAAUAAGCGGAGGA